rnacentral:rRNA from 1 species
AGAGUUUGAUCCUGGCUCAGGACGAACGCUGGCGGCGUGCUUAACACAUGCAAGUCGAACGGAAAGGCCCUGCUUUUGUGGGGUGCUCGAGUGGCGAACGGGUGAGUAACACGUGAGUAACCUGCCCUUGACUUUGGGAUAACUUCAGGGAACUGGGGCUAAUACCGGAUAGGAGCUCCUGCUGCAUGGUGGGGGUUGGAAAGUUUCGGCGGUUGGGGAUGGACUCGCGGCUUAUCAGCUUGUUGGUGGGGUAGUGGCUUACCAAGGCUUUGACGGGUAGCCGGCCUGAGAGGGUGACCGGCCACAUUGGGACUGAGAUACGGCCCAGACUCCUACGGGAGGCAGCAGUGGGGAAUAUUGCACAAUGGGCGGAAGCCUGAUGCAGCAACGCCGCGUGCGGGAUGACGGCCUUCGGGUUGUAAACCGCUUUCGCCUGUGACGAAGCGUGAGUGACGGUAAUGGUAAAGA